AUCAACAGAUGAAAUAAGUAGACAGUACCAACAGCAACAGAUGUGGACACUAGAUUGCACCAGCAAGAUGAACAGAUGUAAAUAGACAGGAGACAAUAUCAACAAGUCCCAAAAGAUGUAAAGAGACAGGGGACAGUACCAACAAGCACAACAGAUUCAUUAAACUGUGGCCAUGCUGGGGCACUGCCUUGAAGAAUUUUUAAUCGCACUGAUAAAGACAUUGUCUUCAAGUAGGAACUACCAGGAAGGUAAAUCAAGGUGGUCCUGCACUUUGUCUCACCUGCCUGAUAGGAGAGUGAUUAUGUAUGGAAACAGGCAUGGUUAUAUGGUUAAGAAGUUUUCUUAGAAAUCCUGUGGUUCUGGGUUCCAUUGUGCAACACUUUGGACAAGUGUCUUUUUAUGGGUGAAAACCAACCAACAUCUUUUAAGCGAUUUAGGCAGACAGAAACAAUGU